GGCCCACUGGUCUGUCGACAGGCUCCUCACUGGUCUUGCGCUAAGGGUCAGCCCACGUCCUCUUCUUCCGGGGUCCAGGGACAGGGCUGAGCUGGGUUCCUGCUCUGCCCCCAAGCACCAGGCCUGGCACAGAUGGGUGGGACUGGUAGAAGGGAGGCUGGAAGAGUGAGUUCUGGGCCAGUUACCCAGGGCUCGAAGGAGCACAGCCCCGGGGCCGACACAGCUCCCCACCAACCUGCCAGCCAGCGCCUGUGCGACAGGGACGCACCCACCUCCUUCGACCCAGGGCCCGGCUGCCCCACCCUGACCCCACGCAUCCUUCGGAGGUCCCAGGAGAAAUUUCAUUCCUCCUGGAAGCCCUCCGAGAUCACCACGCUCUAUAGGGUCCCUUCCUCGUCCUCUCAUGAUGCCCUGCUCCAUGCGGUAGCACUUCUGUAAUAACUUGUUUAAUUACCCUUCGGUCUCCCUAGACUGCAGGACCCGUAGGAUGGGACUACUGUUUUAGCAGAGCGCCUGACCCAAAUAAAUAUUUACUGAAUGGAUACAGAAAA